rnacentral:rRNA from 1 species
UCGAGGAUCUUUCGCAAUGGGCGCAAGCCUGACGAAGCGACGCUGCGUGAGCGAUGAAGGCCUUCGGGUCGUAAAGCUCUUUCGCGCAAGAACAAGGAAAUGAUAUGAAUAAUAUCGUAACUUGAGGGUACUGCGUAAAGAAGCGCCGGCUAACUCCGUGCCAGCAGCUGCGGUAAUACGGAGAGCGCAAGCAUUAAUCGGAAUUAUUGGGCGUAAAGGGCGCGUAGGCGGGAAGGUAAGUCAGAUGUGAAAUUCCGAAGCUCAACUUCGGAGCUGCAUUUGAAACUGCCAUUCUAGAGGGUAGACGGAGAAAACGGAAUUCCACGUGUAGCGGUGAAAUGCGUAGAUAUGUGGAAGAACACCGGUGGCGAAAGCGGUUUUCUAGUUUAUACCUGACGCU